rnacentral:rRNA from 1 species
GGGGAAUAUUGGACAAUGGGGGGAACCCUGAUCCAGCCAUGCCGCGUGUGUGAAGAAGGCCUUUUGGUUGUAAAGCACUUUAAGCGAGGAGGAGGCUACCGAGAUUAAUACUCUUGGAUAGUGGACGUUACUCGCAGAAUAAGCACCGGCUAACUCUGUGCCAGCAGCCGCGGUAAUACAGAGGGUGCAAGCGUUAAUCGGAUUUACUGGGCGUAAAGCGCGCGUAGGUGGCCAAUUAAGUCAAAUGUGAAAUCCCCGAGCUUAACUUGGGAAUUGCAUUCGAUACUGGUUGGCUAGAGUAUGGGAGAGGAUGGUAGAAUUCCAGGUGUAGCGGUGAAAUGCGUAGAGAUCUGGAGGAAUACCGAUGGCGAAGGCAGCCAUCUGGCCUAAUACUGACACUGAGGUGCGAAAGCAUGGGGAGCAAAC